UACGUAGGGUGCGAGCGUUGUCCGGAAUUAUUGGGCGUAAAGAGCUCGUAGGCGGUCUGUCGCGUCGAUCGUGAAAACUUGGGGCUUAACCCUGAGCUUGCGGUCGAUACGGGCAUGACUUGAGUUCGGCAGGGGAGACUGGAAUUCCUGGUGUAGCGGUGAAAUGCGCAGAUAUCAGGAGGAACACCAGUGGCGAAGGCGGGUCUCUGGGCCGAUACUGACGCUGAGGAGCGAAAGCGUGGGGAGCGAACAGG
rnacentral:rRNA from 1 species